rnacentral:miRNA from 1 species
UUGAGAGUGAUGACAGAAGAGAGAGAGCACAACCCGACAGCAGCGACGACGGCGGUCGCUUCUGCCAGGGCCGUGUGCUCUCUGAUCUAUCUGUCAUCGCCGUCCA